rnacentral:tRNA from 1 species
AGGUGCCACCAAUCUUGGUGCAAAUCCAAGUAGAAGCU